GUGUGCCAUGAAAUAUGUAAUGUAAUGCGUGUUGUAAAGAUCGCGAGCGAAAACAAAACAAAAAGAAAAGCUUACAGCGGCACGAGUCGUGACUGUCAUGUUAACCUGAUGGAACCAAACUUCCUCUGUACAUCUGGAAAAAGGGGGUCGUCUUAUAAUCAGGGUCGUCUUAUAUUCGGGACAAUACGACUGUUUUCACUCAGGUCCAGCACCCUAAGGUUCGGAAGGUUUGGAAGCAGUCCUGUUUCCAGAACAGAGCAGCCGUGUGUGGUGAUUCUGCAGUAUGAG